CAAAUUAGAGUUUAAGAAAGCAUUUCAUUUACAUUGAAAAGAUAUUAAAUUAGUUUAAUUGAUUUGA
rnacentral:tRNA from 1 species